UGUGGCUACGGGCUCCUCCUGCCCAACAGUGACCCCAGUUGCCUGAGAGCACACAGCAGCUCAGAUGGCAAAAAUGCUGAGAAACCUUGUCUUUAUAGGAAGGAGGCUGAGAAGAGAGGGCCAGGGCCUGAAAAGGGUGGGAAACCCCACCGAGCAGAGGACUGGAGGAGUCCCAUCAGGAACUCCUCCAAUCCUGAGCUCUGUGCGUGAAGGACAGAAAACAAUCAGAUGAACAGAAGUAAUGACCUGGCAUUUCAUGACAUAGUCACGCUUCCAGACAACCGAAGAAGCAGUAAAGGAAAUUCAGUAACACUUAGAACUGAAUAGUGUUGAAAUUCUAAAUGUCAAACUGUGGGUUAUAGGUCAGGAAGACAAACUUAUCAACCUAAAUGAUAAUAUCAGGAAAGGAGGAAAUCUGAAAACUGAUAUGCAGGAUGUUCAAUUUAAGAAAUCAGAAGAAUAAACAACAGAAUGAAUCCCUGGGAAAUAGGGAGUAAAGGUCAGUAUAUAAAUUAGUAAAAUAGGAAAUGAACAAUAGAGAGGGCCCACAGAAGGAAAAGUUGGUAGUGUGAUGUUCUAGCUCUUAAAAUAAGUGGUCAAAUUUCAAGUGUUUUAUCAUUAUGCUUGUAACCUAACCUGUGAUGUGAUCAUUUUGUAUUUAUCACAUACUGUUUAAAAAAAAUCAC
rnacentral:lncRNA from 1 species